UCUGGAUCCAACACUCUCCCUGCCCAUCUUUUCCUGCACAAGUUAACUCCCAGCCCUUGCUGCUUCUGCUCCAGCCCCCUUCUGAGCGUGCUCUCAUUAAGACCCCAGAGGGAGGAGGUGAUGCUCUGAAAUUGUCUUAAUUGCUCUUGUUUAUGCUGGUUACGAUGGCAAUAAGUUGCCAUGCAGAGGAGGCUUUAUUCAGAUACGCAGGUUCUCCAUUGUUCCAUACUCUGAAGGAUUGUCUGUAGGCAGCUCCAAGUCAUUUACAACAAUAGAUUAAUAUGAAGAUCAGUUAUCCUGGGUGACUCACAGUCACACACAUGCGAGACCCGCCAAUCGCUGUGACCUGCCACUGGAUUUGAGGGGAGGUUGAAUGUUGCUGGCAUGUUCUUGCAGGAUGCUGAGAAGAUAAUGCUCUGCACUUGCACAGCUUCUGCUCUCCAGGAGCUUCCCAAACAUGAAUGGAGAGUGCUCUUUCUAGGGCAGGCAAUGACUCUUACACUUGCUGGAAAGCAGGGAACUGGGACAGAGUGUGUCUUUUGUCCAAUGUAAGUUAACAUGUGCCAAAGUUUAAUCAUAGGUCAAGAAUCCCUGAUGUAUCUUCCAGGCACUCUAUCACCCAGGCCCUGAGGAGAUUCUUUUAUGCAUGUUGUGUGCUGCAUUCCAUUUAUCACCCUUGGACACCUUUGUCUCACAGGUUCCUCUCCAGACCUCUGCAGUUCAGUGUCUGGAUCUUCAUUUGUCAGAGACCCACUGGAGACAAUGUUGAGACACCUCAGCUGGCUCAGUCACCAUUCUGGAAGGAGAAACACGAAAGGACUUGAAGCUCUUGGAGUGAAAUAGUGAGAAGCACCUGCAUGAGGUACCAGUGGUCACCUCUGAAACAGUUCCCUUGGAGUCUCCACGUGUUGCCAUCACCAGACAGUGACAUCUCCCAGGCUUUGGAGCAGGCUUGGCUGUGGAUCCAGAAGAGGGCAAUGGUGACACAUCCUCACCGAGCACCAAAUCCACUGAGGGCAGCCACUGCAGGAACGGAGCCAAUAGCCACACCACCUUGGCUACUGGAUCUGCCUGUUCCUGGCUGUUUCGUGGCAAGCAGAUUGAAGUGGGAGGCAGCUUUCAGCUACUGUCUCAGGAUGCGGCCCCCGAGCGCGAGGGAGAGGCACGGGACAAGGGCGGUUUGAGAAUCCACGUGGGUGAUCUUCCCAACAAACCUGGGCGACAGGAGACUCCGUGAUGUGCCUGAAGGAGGUACAAACAACCCCCUCCUCUUUGGCAAAGGACUCAGCUGGCAAGAUUUGAUCUUUUUGUUCGCUUGAGGCUUUUGUUUGUUCACUAAAUGCCCCCGGACUUUGCUUUUCAAGUCUCUUCCUUCUCUGUCGUUGUCACUGCCACAGCAACAGGUGAGUUUGAGAAGUUACACGUGGGGAAGAUGAGUUGCACUGAGGAAAUGACUCAAAUCCUUUGCAGACCCUGCUGGAGCCAGUAGGUCUGAAGGCAGGUGCCCUCCAUCCCCAGAGCUGUGAGCAUGGCUGAACCACCCAGUGCCCUCCAGAGCUCUCAUCACCAUCAAUCAAGCUCUUCCCCACAAAGCAGCAGUGGAGGAAGCUCCAGAAGUAUCACUUCUUUAUUUCAGUGCUGCCACACUCACUGACGUCCUCGCUGAGCCUCUUGCUGCAGCAGGCUGCUAAUCAAAAACUCUGCUGUUGCUGCUAAUCAAAACCUCUUUGCUCGCCACUUUGGCAUCAUUCUGGGAAGCCAACAGAGCGCAGAGAUGCUCAAUUCCUCCCCCUCCACACACCUUCCAUUGUCUUCAGGACUGACAGCUCUGAUGUGGAGCAGUGAUAAAAGCCAGCUGAUGCUGUCAGGGCCUGGUACAAUUGCACUGCAGGGAAAAAGGCGACUGGCUCUGAGUCAUCGUAGCCGCCUGGAGCUCAGGAUGCCUGGCACACGAGCUGUCUCCUGGCACGGCUCAUCACACAGCACUGCACCUCUGGAUGCUCCCCUCUGAGGAGGGAUUGACCAGAGGACUUGAGAAAGGCCAGGACUGGUGGCCAUCUGCAUGGCCAGCCAUCCUUUGAGAUAUUAGGAAAACUCACAGGGAUUAAAAUAAGGACUUUUUUUGUAGAAUCAUAGAAUAUCCUGAGUUGGAAGGGAUUCACAAGGAUCAUCAGCCCAACUCCU
rnacentral:lncRNA from 1 species